GGUCAGUGUCUGCAACUCCUUAGCCUCUGUAAUGACGUUAACUUUACUUUCUCAAGAACUGGGCAGUACACUAAGAAUUUUCUGACAAGCUUGUUUCUUGGAAUACUUUCACCAAAAGGGUGAAGCUCAUAGAGGAUGGAGGUGAAUCGAGUAUGCAUAUCUUGGAUGGAUUCAUCAUCUUUCAUUCUGAAGAGCUCAUAUUUUGUUGUGAGCAUAUCAAUCUUGGAUUGCUUCACC
rnacentral:lncRNA from 1 species